rnacentral:rRNA from 1 species
CCUACGGGAUGCUGCAGUGGGGAAUAUUGGGCAAUGGGCGCAAGCCUGAACCAGCAACGCCGCGUGAAGGAAGAAGGCUUUCGGGUUGUAAACUUCUUUUGUCAGGGAAGAGUAGAAGCCGGUACCUGACGCAUAAGCCACGGCUAACUACGUGCCAGCAGCCGCGGUAAUACGUAGGUGGCAAGCGUUGUCCGGCUUUACUGGGUGUAAAGGGCGUGUAGCCGGGUUGACAAGUCAGAUGUGAAAUCCUGCGGCUUAACCGCAGAACCGCAUUUGAUACUGUGAAUCUUGAGUACUGGAGAGGCAGACGGAAUUCCUGGUGAAGCGGUGAAAUGCGUAGAUAUUAGGAGGAACACCAGUGGCGAAGGCGGUCUGCUGGACAGCAACUGACGGUGAGGCGCGAAAGCGUGGGGAGCAAACAGGAUUAGAUACCCUUGUAGUC